ACACUUACAAGCAUGUAUCAAAUCAAAUGUUAUCUGUCACAUGCGCCAAAUACAACAGGUGUAGUAGACCUUACAGUGAAAUACUUACCUACAGAGUCAAUGUGGAGACGAUAUACAGGGGGUACCGGUGCAGAGUCAAUGUGGAGACUAUAUACAGGGUGUUACGGUACAGAGUCAAUGUGGAGGCUAUAUACAGGGUGUUACGGUACAGAGUCAAUGUGGAGGCUAUAUACAGGGGGUACUGGUACAGAGUCAAUGUGGAGGCUAUAUACAGGGUGUUACGGUACAGAGUCAAUGUGGAGGCUAUAUACAGGGGGUACCGGUACAGAGUCAAUGUGGAGGCUAUAUACAGGGGGUACCGGUACAGAGUCAAUGUGGAGGCUAUAUACAGGGGGUACCGGUACAGAGUCAAUGUGGAGGCUAUAUACAGGGAGUACCGGUACAGAGUCAAUGUGGAGACUAUAUACAGGGGGUACCGGUACCGAGUCAAUGUGGAGGCUAUAUACAGGGUGUUACGGUACAGAGUCAAUGUGGAGACUAUAUACAGGGUGUUACGGUACAGAGUCAAUGUGGAGGCUAUAUACAGGGGGUACCGGUACAGAGUCAAUGUGGAGGCUAUAUACAGGGGGCACAGGUACAGAGUCAAUGUGGAGACUAUAUACAAGGGUACAGGUACAGAGUCAAUGUGGAAACUAUAUACAGGGGGUACCGAUACAGAGUCAAUGUGGAGGCUAUAUACAGGGGGUACCGAUACAGAGUCAAUGUGGAGGCUAUAUACAGGGUGUUACGGUACAGAAUCAAUGUGGAGGCUAUAUACAGGGGGGUACCGGUACAGAGUGAAUGUGGAGACUAUAUUCAGGGGGUACUGGUACCGAGUCAAUGUGGAGGCUAUAUACAGGGGGUACAGGUACAGAGUCAAUGUGGAGACUAUAUACAAGGGGUACAAGUACAGAGUCAAUGUGGAGACUAUAUACAGGG
ensembl:lncRNA